ensembl:lncRNA
CAAAGAUGCACUGAGUUUCAAGACAAAGUGAGCAGUUGGGUGCCAGACUGAUCUCCUGGUUAUGAAAGGAUGCCGGGACCUACCAGAAUGAUUAAAGAUGCAUGAGAUGCAGAGAGACCUGGCACUCAACACAUCCACAAUAAGAUGAUUACUAAUAGUACAGUACAUCACAAAUGUCCAGUAAUAGCAACUUUUACUUCCAUUUGUCACUGAUGAACUCUGCCUCAACUCUGCCUAUUUCUACAGAUGGACUAGAGAUGCUUUUUGCAGUCUGUCGUUUGAUGGGUAGACCAUAAUUGGAUGCUAGUACACGAGUGCUUGGCAGCAUGCAGGCCUGCUGAGGGAUGGCCAGUCGGUGAAAAGCCCAGCAGCUGUUGGAUGCGUAGCUGCCUGUCCAAAAAUCUG